rnacentral:rRNA from 1 species
AGGACGAACGCUGGCGGCGUGCUUAACACAUGCAAGUCGAGCGGAAAGGCCCUUCGGGGUACUCGAGCGGCGAACGGGUGAGUAACACGUGAGCAACCUGCCCUUAGCUCCGGGAUAGCUCCGGGAAACCGGAAUUAAUACCGGAUACAACCACGGCCGACAUCUGCUGUGGUGGAAAGGAUUCCGGCUAAGGAUGGGCUCGCGGCCUAUCAGCUAGUUGGUGGAGUAACGGCCCACCAAGGCGACGACGGGUAGCCGGCCUGAGAGGGCGACCGGCCACACUGGGACUGAGACACGGCCCAGACUCCUACGGGAGGCAGCAGUGGGAAUAUUGCGCAAUGGGCGAAAGCCUGACGCAGCGACGCCGCGUGGGGGAUGGAAGGCCUUCGGGUUGUAAACCCCUUUCAGCAGGGACGAAGCGAAAGUGACGGUACCUGCAGAAGAAGCGCCGGCUAACUACGCGCCAGCAGCCGC